AGGGGCCCUCUGCUGCCUCAUGACCGCAAGGCUGAGGUGAACCUCUGGCCUUCCAGUUGAGGUACAGGGGUCCUUUGCUGGCCCCAGAUAUGGACAGUAUCCUCUCGAAUGCCCACCACUGGGAACCCUUAAGUCCCUCAAGCCUCGGCCAGUCCUAUCUCAACAAUAGUGGCCGGUGUUAAGUAUGGUGCCUAGAAUAUUACAGACUAUUCCAGACCAGGAAGGAAAGUUGACUUCAUCUUCAGAUACUCAGGCUCCAGCCUGGAGACAUCUCAUCUCUCCUCUGUCACUCCUUCCCCAUUAUUAAAGUUUGUGGAUGUUCCUUAGA